rnacentral:lncRNA from 1 species
GCAGAUUGGACAUAAAAGAUCAGUAGUUUAUAUUGAGAAUUUUUUGAUGAAACCAAAGGGAAAUCCACUGUUAGGAAGUGUCAAAGAUGUCAUAAAAAUAUCGUAGAAAUUUGAAUAGAAAAAGCACAAUAGCAAGAUCAAACAGAUGGUGCUAUGCGGCUGGAAUUCUGCAAUGUAUCUUUCGUCGUAGAGAUGAAAACUUUGUGACGAGAAGUUUAUGUAGCAAUAUAGGAACGAUUUUUUUUUUUUUUUUUUUUUCGAAUAAGGAUAACUAAAUUGCAGCAGCAGUAAGGUAGGAAACCAGAA